CAGCGGCACCUCUUCUUCUUCGCCAAAAAUCUCUUCUCUCCUGGCGAGUCGCCGUUUACUUGGCUCGCCGGAGAUUCACCGGCUUCAUUCCCUCCAUCUCCUCCGAUCCUUCUUCUUCUCUUUCGCUACACCAAAUUCCCAAGUCAAUUUCUUGGUUAGAGGGAACAGCAGCGGCGCUCCAAUCCUCUUCCUCGUGGCCUCUCCGGCGGAAACGCCGUCUCGAUGGAACCGUCGUUGGUGAGCGGCGCUGCUGCAUGCGCCGCCGUCUUCGUCUCCGGCCAAACAGCCGCCGCUGCCUGCUCCCUUUUUCCACCGCGUUAAGGCAGCAAACGCUCCUGCCCGCCAUCGCCGUCGAUCGGCCUCCGUCGGACGGUCCCAUCCCCUCCGCCGAGUCCUCCGUUGAGCAGCUUAUUCCCAUAAAGCUAAGUCCUCUUUCUUAGUUCAUUUUAAUUAGCCCUUUUGAAGGAUAGAAGUUUCAGAGGAUUCUACUUUAUUGUUGGGAGUGUAAUCGAAAACGGUGGAGGAACCCGUUCCUUGUGUUCAAGUAAAAUUCGAUAGCUAGCAUCCUAUGAUUUUUUUUCAAAUACGGCAGUAGCUAUGUUCAAAGCUCUAUGGUUCUAAGUUCUCGUGCUAGCUAUGAUUUCUUAUCAUGAUGCAGAGGUUGGUUUAGUGAGGAUUACCUCUAAAAUUGACCGCUGCCUUGAUUCCUGCUCCUUGAGCUCCAAAUCCCACACUCCUAACUCACUAUGUUGCUGAAUUUUUGAUGUGGUGUAAGGGAAGGUCGAGGGUGGUAAGGAGGGGUCUUUAUAGGUGAUUUGGUAACUGCAAAAUCUGCAACUCUUGAUCCUCUUGCAGGGACAUUUUUGUUGGUUGUGAGAGUGUACUCGUAUAUUCAGGUACUCAAGAAAGGGGCAGAGAUUGUUACUGCAGAUUGUCGCAGCUGGAAGGCAGACAUUGCAGGCUCAUUUGCCCCUUUGCAGCCUGCGGUUAAGGCUGGGAAAGGGCAGGGAUGGUACCCCUCUUAUCCUUUCUUGGCUUAUUGCUAAUUUUGAACAUUUCACAUGCUUUGUUUGGUUGUAUUAUUUUGCAGGAAUAAGGACCCAUCAUGUCCGGCUGCUACCUUGAUGUUCUGAUCUCAACGGGCUGUCGAAGCUAGGCCGAAAUUCGGGCCUAAGGCAGAGCCCGAGACUUAGCAUUUCUACUUGUAAUAGAAUAGAGUCUUCCCUCUUGUUCUUUUUCAAGCUUUCUCUCAUUUCAAACAAAAAGUAUAGAAUUACUUCUCAAAUUUAGUGCGUAUCAUUCUUUUUCUAUUUUCAUCAUCAAGCAUCUUGUAAACUUAUACUUAGCUUGGAAAAUCAAAAUACUAUGUUUUGAUUA